AGCCCUGUAGUGUAGCGGUUAACAUAAGAGACUCUGGAUCUCUAGUCCCCAGUUCGAAUCUGGGCAGGGCUG
rfam:Thermoplasmatales archaeon SG8-52-1 WOR_8-12_201, whole genome shotgun sequence.